rnacentral:rRNA from 1 species
AACUAUUGGAAACGAUAGCUAAUACCGCAUAACAGUAUGUAACACAUGUUAGAUGCUUGAAAGAUGCAAUUGCAUCGCUAGUAGAUGGACCUGCGUUGUAUUAGCUAGUAGGUAGGGUAAAGGCCUACCUAGGCAACGAUACAUAGCCGACCUGAGAGGGUGAUCGGCCACACUGGGACUGAGACACGGCCCAGACUCCUACGGGAGGCAGCAGUAGGGAAUCUUCGGCAAUGGGGGGAACCCUGACCGAGCAACGCCGCGUGAGUGAAGAAGGUUUUCGGAUCGUAAAGCUCUGCUGUUAAGGAAGAACGAGUGUGAGAAUGGAAAGUUCAUACUGUGACGGUACUUAACCAGAAAGGGACGGCUAACUACGUGCCAGCAGCCGCGGUAAUACGUAGGUCCCGAGCGUUGUCCGGAUUUAUUGGGCGUAAAGCGAGCGCAGGCGGUUAGAAAAGUCUGAAGUGAAAGGCAGUGGCUCAACCAUUGUAGGCUUUGGAAACUGUUUAACUUGAGUGCAGAAGGGGAGAGUGGAAUUCCAUGUGUAGCGGUGAAAUGCGU